rnacentral:rRNA from 1 species
UACGAAGGGUGCAAACGUUGCUCGGAAUUAUUGGGCGUAAAGCGCACGUAGGCGGCGUAGCAAGUUGGAUGUGAAAUCCCUCGGCUCAACCAAGGAAGUGCAUCCAAAACUGCUGCGCUUGAGUACUUAAGAGGAUCGCGGAAUUCCCGGUGUAGAGGUGAAAUUCGUAGAUAUCGGGAGGAACACCAGUGGCGAAGGCGGUUCUCUGGGACGGUACUGACGCUGAGACGCGAAAGCGUGGGGAGCGAACAGG